CGGGUACAGUAGCUGCAUGUGCAGAUAAAAACUUACCGAGUCGAUAUUUAUUGAUUAAACUCAGGUGAUACUUAAAUAAUGUUUAAGUAGUUCUAUUUUACCAAAUUAUAUCACAAAAAAAUAAAAAGUGUUUUUUUAAUUUCAAUUUCAAUUUGGUGUUGCAAUACUUUUUUCCAUGUGUAUAUUUAAAUAAAUGUCUUUCAAACUUGUUAUAUUGAUCAAAUAAACAUAUUAUGUACUAUAGAAAUAAUGUAGGACAUUUUCUACCAUAAUUUGUUCAAGUAGGAAAUGUAUUUUUAUUUUCUGAAUAUCGUUAUGUUUUUUUAUACACUGAUCAUUUUAUCAAUAUUUAAUUAUAUGCAAACAUGAAACUUUUGUUAAUUUACUUUAAAAAAAAAAGGAAAAAACUAAUAAUGUCAUCUGCCAUUAAAACAUUUACGUAAAGCAGAAUCGUCUCUACUGUCGUUCAGAUACGUUUUGGCAUUAGUAUAAAAUACAGUUCUCAUAUUCAACAGUUGAAACAACUUGACAACUAAGGGAAGGGAAACAACAUCACUAAAGAUUAAAUUUUAACUUCAAACAAAAUAAUAGGUAAAAUGACUUGAAUGAAUAGUAGUUCUGAUGCUAAUUGAGUAUCACAGUCAUAACAUUAGUCAGCUUACUGGCUCAUUUUUUUAAAAGAAUGUUUGCGACUACGGAAAUUCCAAAUAACAUGCUUACAACUAUUUAACAAUCCUCCCGAUCAAUCAAUUUAGACUAAAAAAACAACAACCCACAAAUAUUAUUUACCUCGAUGAUUUUUCAACAUGAAGUAAAAUAGCAGCUGUGACGUAGAGAAAAAAUAUAUUCUGCUCUUCAAAGUUAAACAGUUCCAUGAAAUGCCGCAAUAAAAAAAAACCAAAUAUAUCUAAGAGGGAGAUAUAUAUAUAUGCAAUAUAUUUUCAAGGUAGUUGCUGAUACCAAUUUAAACAACAGCGUUGUUUGUAUGGAUCACACAUUUUAUUUUAGGUUUCGUUCUCCUAAAUUUCUAACAUUAAUAACAUUUUAUAACAUUAAUGCAUAUAGUAAACUAUAAAUAUAAUCUUAAAACACACUACCAUGCUGAAAGUCAUUGUCUGUUCUCAUUCUAGAAUCGUUUAUAUAGUCAAUUUAUCGUUAUUCUACAUGGGUUUAUUUUGUGCUAUGUUUAACCAUCUUGAUUUACAUUUAUGUGAUGUUUUUAUAUGAUUUUAUAUUUUUGUUUUCUGAAUAAAGUUUAGAUA
rnacentral:lncRNA from 1 species